ACUGUUGGGUUUUUAGCAUUCUAACACUCCUAUGGUGUACAUGCAACCCUAUAAACCUUGGAUCUAUGUUUUCUCUAUUAUACAUGCAAAUAAGAACUUUCCAAGGCUUUAAUCCUAACUAGCAUAUUAUGAUGUUCUUAAUCUACAAAGUACUAGUUAGAGGACAUACCUUUUGAUGUAGCUUGAUGUCUUCAAGCUUUAAGAGCUUAGCCCCAAUAGUGUGGAAGCCUCAAGUGGAAUCACAAAUCACCAAGACACCUUGGAAAACUUUAGAGAAUAUGAAUACUUGGUUCUCUCUUAGUAAAAUCGGCUAGCCCUCUUAGUGUAUCCACACUAGUGCCAAUUUCACCAACCAAAGACAUCUUUAUAUAGUAUGGAGGAUUAGGGUUAAACCCUAACACCCAUGACCUUUCAUUUCCUAGGAUCCAUGGGUUAAACACUCCAUGGACUAUCCAUGAAAGCUUAGCCCAACCUAAAUGAACUUGGCCCAUUCCAUAUAUAUAAGAGUCCAUAUUUAAUUAGUUCCUUUUGAUCACUUAAUUAAUUAUAAAUUAAUUCUUGAUCAAUACUAAUUAAAUAAUAUGAUUCCAUAUUAAUAUAUUAGAACUUAUAAUAUAUUAAUAUUAAUCAUAAACAUACUAUUCUCAAAAGAUUAUCCAUAUAAAUUGUGUCGGUGAAGUGCAACCCAAAUGGACCAUGCCGGGUCGGGUCAAGUACAUACCAAAUAUAGUUAUGGACUUAGACAUUAAUCCAACAGUCUCCCACUUGGAUAAGUCUAAAACUAUUAUUGCGUAUGACUUCAAACCUAACUGGCAAUCGUAGCUCUUAAAGCUGCUGUCGAACUCUGAUCUUGUCAACGAACUUGUCCAUUAGAUAAGGGAUCAUAUAUUCCUCCAUUCUAGAUAUCAUAUGGACUGAGACAUGGAUUAUAAUCAUUCUCUCUGUCCAUUUGUUGUUUCCCGAUUUCCGAUUUAUGACGACUGACUAAUUGAACAAAUCAAAUCAGUCCUGGCCCGGCCGAGCACUUCCAUUUGUCAUCAUCAAAUCAUCGAGGGGCCCACAGAUAUCGCUUUUAUCCCGAAGGUAAAAGGAAUGGAUAAACUUCGACUCAUAUGGCUUGUUCUACUACUUGUUGAAUCAUACACAAAGGCACGUUUUAUAGCACCGAGUUACCAAAUGCGUUUUCGUGCAAUCAAUGUACAACCAACUCAUAGUAACAACUCAUAUCUCUAGGUUUGAAGAAUAUAAGAUAUUAUCGUCUCAUGAUCACUCGUGAUAAAAUCCAUGAAGUGAUUCCAAUGAGCGCGGGUUGAAUCCAAUACUCAGAACUUAUGAGCACUCAUGAGUGUUGUAGCCCUUUGUCCAACACCUUAGACCUCUACAAGCCAACCCAUGACAGUCUUAAUUCAUAUCUACUUCCAACAUAUGACCGACUGUGGAUGGUUUGAAUAACUUAGUCAUUCCGGAAGAAUAACCUAGUUUAUUCGGGAAGUCAAAACAUGCAAAGUGAAACACAAUAAUAAUUGAAUCCAAUAUGGUAUCAACCCUUUGAACAUAAAUAAAACACCUUUUAUUUAUCACCAUAUGAUUACACAUUAUUCAUUGUAUACUGUUUCAGCUAUCAACUUUAUUCUUGAAUUUAAAACAAUAGUUGUCCCAUGCUCCAAGCAUGUACACUAUGUUUUCUUAAACACUAGUCAUGCCACACACCAAGUAUGCAUACUAUGUUUGUCUAUGAUCUUUACUUUGUGAACUAGAUCAAUUGAACAUAACUUCAAUGAUUCUCUUUUCACACUCCCAAAUCCUUACUGCAAAUGCAAGAAUUCCAAAUUCAUGCCAUUUACUGAAAUCUGUUAGAUUCUAAACUUAUAUGCAUUGAUCCUCUUGUAAUGAUUAUGCACAAAGUCACAAAGACUUGGCAACAAUCAUUACAGAGUAUUCCAAAGGAGAUCAACUCCUUGGAAAUAUCCUUCUUGCAUUAAGUUUCCUUAAUCUUACACAGAUUGAAAAUUCUAACUUUGAAACAUUUCCAGAUUCCAUUUUGACUAUCACUUCUGAACAAGAGUUGCCUCCUUACAGAUUAUGUCAAUAUGGUCCUUCCAGAAUUAUCACUAUACUUCCAAUUGUCCUUGAGUAACCAAUCUUUGGUAAACCUUAGAUUGUCCUCGACAAUUGUUUAAUCCUUUUAGUCAUAUCCAGUUCUAAACCUUUUCCCUUCUUAAUGCCCCAGGCAUUUGGAAAAUUUUAGAACGGAUGAAUAUAGCACAUGUAAUCGAUCCUAUAUCCGAAGCAUAUGGGACACGAUUCAUGAUGUCUUACAUAAAGACUAAACCAGUCUUUUGCUAUAAUAUUUCCAUUUCAAUUUGCCAAGUUCUCAUAAUUCAGAUUAUGAAAAGGGAUGCCGUAAUCAUAAUCGAAUUUUAGAACGCAAAUAAUGGACCCAUAUACAGAAUUUCCUUAUGUUGAGCCAUUCCAACAUGAAAUUCAUAUAUAUCCUUGACUAAAUGAUUAAAACCUCACGAUCUAAGCUUAUAGAUUUGAGAUGAAGCAUAAUUUCCUCUCCCUUAAUUAUAGCAAAACAACUUUUUCCCAAUUGAAACUUUUGUUUUCUAUAAUUAACAUUGCUAACUUGCAAUACUUAUCAUAAUUAUCAUGCUCCCACUAACAUGAUGAUUAUUAGCAUAACACUUAUGCUCCCACUAGCUUUGACAUGUACUCAGAAAUCAGCUGGACAGUCUGAAAUUUAGAUUCAUACACCCUUUCCGUAGAUAGCUCACCUGUGUGUCUAAGCAAUUUCAAGAACCAUGAAAAGGGAUACCGUAAUCAUGGUCUCAAUUGCUUAGGCAUUUGCCAUUUCUCACAAGUCCAUGUUAGUGUGCCGGUUAACCACACGCGCUCCACUAACGACUUUUGAAAAUGCAAAUAACACAAUUGAUAUCUUCGUAAAAUCUACUUAGUGAAAGCGUUUCCUCACCAUCAUUUUCAUGAAUCGGAGAGAAACCUUAUGACACUUAGAUUUAUAUGGUGUAUGAGUUCCUACCCAUAUGAAUUUGUCAAACCAUAAUCACAAGACAAAGAUAAUGACAAAUCCAAAACCAUAUGGAUUGAACUCAAUCUUAACUUCUUGCCACCUGGCAGCUCAAGGGCCUGCCAUUGCUUCCAAGUUGUUGUGCAACAAAUUGAGAACUCUAAGAACUCAUAUGCAAAACCAACUUUAACUGGAAUGGGCACAGAAUAUGUCAACACGAUAGGUUAUGAACCUCAAGUCGUGUGCUAGUGAAGAACUUUAGGUUUUAUUCUUGAUUAUUUCUUGAGACUUUCAAGACCUUUAAGACUCCCACUGUCCUCUUGACAUAUAAGACUCCCUUGUCAAACAUCCAAGAGAUAGUGCGGAUUCUAAUCAAGAAAAACACUUUACCCAAUUGGCCUAAGUUGGUCUUUGUUUUAUCCAAAACAUCACAACUUACCAAUUUCAAAUGUACAAGAGUAGAAAACUUUUACUCUUACAUUUGACAAGUGUUUUAAACCUUCUUUAAGACAUGUCACUCAAAUGACAAUCUUGGAGUAUGACUCUAAGACUUGUAUUGGAACGAAGUAUGACUCAUCUUCUUGAUUUAACCAUUUCAACAAUUCAAGUUCCUCUUCUUAGUCAUAAGAAUGCACUAAGAUUUCCUUAGAGAACUAAUUUUGAUAUGGUUUCUUAAUCAUUAAGAUGAUCACAAAACUGAUACUAAAGUACUCUCCCAUCUUUUCAGAUUUGAGAAACUUUUAUCCUUCUGCCUUAUUUGAUUCUUCUUAUCGAUCUUUAGUGGUGGACUUAAUCAGUGCACAAGAAUGUGUACUCGAUCCCUAAGUCCUUUACUUGACUCACACAUCCAUGUGAACAAGUAAUUAGUCUUAAUUUUCCAAAACUUGAAAGUUCUCAUUCAUCAUGCUAUACAACUUGCAUGAUUCCAAGUUCCGGUCCAAUUGAAACUUGGGUGAUGAGAAUCUUUCCUUAUUUGGUAAAUUUAGACAUUACCACAAAUGAAAGAAUCAAUUUCAUACUUCCACUCUUGCUACUAAUGGAAUCUUAUAAGCAACAAAAAUUUCCACAGAUGCCAUUGUAAGGAUAUUUUAAAAUAAAUAAAAUCAAAAAUUUCCUUUUAUUUUAAAACUUUGCGGAAAAACUAUCCUUACAAUCCAUAUGAAAACUUGUUGUUAUCUAUUCCUAAGCAAUAUCUCAUAACUCCUAAGAAGUAGCUCAAGAAUCCGAUUUUUCAAACUAUGCGAUAGAAAUCCAUCUAUGCGAUCAGAUUCAGCAUAUUCUUCCUUUAAGUUUCUUCACUUUCCUUUGAUUCUUAAACCAUCACCAUGCGACCCGGUCACAUCAUGUAUCAAGAAUCUCAGAAUAGAAACUUAACAGAGUUAGAUAGUGGAUUUUACCUGAAGUAGAGUCAAACUUAUUGACUUUAACAUCCUUAGGUAAAUUUGGCAGCUUCGCAACCAAUGCCCUUUCUUUGGCAAUACAAACAUAUGGACCCUUUGAUAAUGGUACACAGGACUAUCACAGACUUAGCUUUUCUCUUUACCAUUUGGUCAACCGAGUUGACUAUAGCCGAUCCCUUUCCAUUGGGAAGAGAAUGCUUUACUGGAUAUCCAAUGUCAUCAUUGUCAAUGUCCAUAAAGUUUUAGGAAGUUGAUCUUAGCAAAUAGAUAAGAUCAUUAAGGGUCUUGUCAUAGUCUGUUUCAUAGGUGUCCCAAAGGAACUCACUAUGUGACUUAGAAAGUGGUUGAACCACCAACUUUCUCAAGACUUUGACACCCAACUCUCCCGGCUUGUCAAUAUGUGACUACAUCUCCAAGAUGUGACCACACCUAGACCUUGCCUUGCCAAUAGGGCCUGAGUGACCUUAAACUUUUCAAGAACUUGUGGGUUAGGGAGAAUAAUUUGAAGAGGUGAAGAAGUAUGAUAUCCAUGGGACAUCAUCUUCAUUAGGAAACCUUGUUUCAAGAGAUUUGGGAAGAUCAUAGGUGUCUAAACCAGACAUCUUUUGGGAGAUAUUCAAGAUAGUUGAUUUAAAGUCCUUAAUAUGACACCCAAUAUGAAAUAUUAAGGCUAGGACCCAACAAACUAUUUUAUAACUUAGAAGAGGUAUGCCGUAAUCCAAGCUAUAAAAUAUUUGAAGGUAGGUGAAUGACGAUUCACCAAUUUCCACCAAGAUAAACGAAAUGUAUUAUUAGGUUUUAAUUGGUUUUGAAACUCCUAGAUCUUUGAGAUUCAUUGAACUUUUCAAAGGCAUGUUUCAAUCUCGAGUGUGCCCUUCAGGUUUUGUGACUGGGAUGCCGAGGAUCACAAAACAAGGUGUGAAGUAACCAUGCAAAUCACUUGGUACCCUUAAUAAAUUACCCCUCAAUCGAUGUGCCGGUUAACCACACACGCUCCAUCGAUACUAUGAUAAAUAUUAAGUCACCCUUUACCUACCUUGUUAAGUCCAAGUUAGUGUGCCGGUUAACCACACACGCUCCACUAACGACUUAGACAAAGUGUAAAGUGUAAUUUCAUGGAUUAGCACCUUAUUCACAUUUUUCCUAAGUAACUAAGAUUGGGUAUUAUUAAGAGUUUAGUUACUUAGUAUUAUCAUUAAUACUUUUAAUGAAGGGAGAAUUCUAGUCCUGUCAAACCCGUUCGGCUAACGACCCUCCACCAGUCAAGCAAGCGGUGGGUGAGAGUGGACACCCAUUAAGUUGCCAUUUUAUAGGCAACAACCUUAUACCCACCUUAUAGACCGGCUUCGUGAAUGAGGCGUACUAGCGGUAAGACUGACUUUACUCUUAUACAUAUAUAUAUUAUUAACUUAUAAUAUUAUAAAGUAUAAGGGUUGAAUUUUAACUUUUAAAAUUCUAAGGGCUAACUUGGAAUUAAAGUAUUCAUAAGUGAAAACUUUACAAAUUCCAAAACUUGAGGGCAAGUUUUGAAACUAUUCAAAACUAAUUAAUUCCAUAACUUAUGUGUUUAAAGUAGUUUUAAUCCAAAAACUCUUCAAGUUCCAUAACUUGAGGACAAGUUAUGGAAGACUUUAAACUAAUAAAAGAAUUAACUUUUCUUUAUUUUAUAACUUAUGGAAUUAAUUAAGGUUACCCCUUUUUUUAUUUUAUUUUAUUUUAUUAAAUGAAGAGACUCUUGGUCCUCCAUAACUUGAGGACAAGUUAUGGAGUCAUAAAACCAUUUAAUUAGAACUAGACUCUUCAUUUUUGUAACCUUUGCCAAUUUUUAUGAGUUUUAUGAUUCUUAAAUGUGACUUUUCAUAUAACUUGAGGACAAGUUACAAAAACACAUUUUAGAAUCAAUUCUUAGAUUAAUUUGGAUUAAAACCAACUAUCACAUAAUUUUAUUCAUUAAUCUAAAUUCACUCAUAAAACAAGGUAACACAAAAAACUUUUGGUGAUCCAUAACUUAUUCUUAAGUUAUGGAAUCCUUUAAAACAUUAACACCAAAUUUUGUAACUCCAAAAAAACUUUGAAUCAAUUUUUUUUUAAAACCUUUUCAUAUCCAUAACUUAUGGAGGUUUCAAAAAAUAAAACUCUUUAGAUCAAACUUUUAAAACUAAUAAAAUAAUCAUAUUAUUUUAUCUUUUAUUAAAUUUGACCUAAUUCAACUCAUAAAGCAAAUUAUUCAAAUUUUACAAAUAAUUAGUUUUUCACAAGAACAAGUAAUUAUCUUAAAAUUUGACGAACUUCAUGUUUUUUUUAUUUUUUUUUUUUCAACUUUGAAAAUAAAAUAUUUGCAUCAAUAUAACAGAAAACAACCCGAGGCUCUGAUACCACUGUUGGGUUUUGAGCAUUCUAACACUCCUAUGGUGUACAUGCAACCCUAUAAACCUUGGAUCUAUGUUUUCUCUAUUAUACAUGCAAAUAAGAACUUUCCAAGGCUUUAAUCCUAACUAGCAUAUUAUGAUGUUCUUAAUCUACAAAGUACUAGUUAGAGGACAUACCUUUUGAUGUAGCUUGAUGUCUUCAAGCUUUAAGAGCUUAGCCCCAAUAGUGUGGAAGCCUCAAGUGGAAUCACAAAUCACCAAGACACCUUGGAAAACUUUAGAGAAUAUGAAUACUUGGUUCUCUCUUAGUAAAAUUGGCUAGCCCUCUUAGUGUAUCCACACUAGUGCCCAUUUCAACAACCAAAGACAUCUUUAUAUAGUAUGGAGGAUUAGGGUUAAACCCUAACACCCAUGACCUUUCAUUUCCUAGGAUCCAUGGGUUAAACACUCCAUGGACUAUCCAUGAAAGCUUAGCCCAACCUAAAUGAACUUGGCCCAUUCCAUAUAUAUAAGAGUCCAUAUUUAAUUAGUUCCUUUUGAUCACUUAAUUAAUUAUAAAUUAAUUCUUGAUCAAUACUAAUUAAAUAAUAUGAUUCCAUAUUAAUAUAUUAGAACUUAUAAUAUAUUAAUAUUAAUCAUAAACAUACUAUUCUCAAAAGAUUAUCCAUAUAAAUUGUGUCGGUGAAGUGCAACCCAAAUGGACCAUGCCGGGUCGGGUCAAGUACAUACCAAAUAUAGUUAUGGACUUAGACAUUAAUCCAACACUCACAACCUUACCCAAAGGGUGAAGUACCAGUAGAUCUAACGAAUUGAAAAACCUCAACCUUUAACAUAAACAUUCCCCAGAAAUGACUAAAACAGAUCCCACACCUUGAUUGAAACUAAGCAGAACCCAC
rnacentral:lncRNA from 1 species